rnacentral:rRNA from 1 species
ACGGAAGGCAGCAGUGAGGGAUAUUGCACAAUGGGCGAAAGCCUGAUGCAGCAACGCCGCGUGAGGGAUGACGGUUUUCGGAUUGUAAACCUCUGUCUUCGGUGAAGAUAAUGACAUUAGCCGAGGAGGAAGCCACGGCUAACUAUGUGCCAGCAGCCGCGGUAAUACGUAGGUGGCAAGCGUUGUCCGGAUUUACUGGGUGUAAAGGGAGCGCAGGCGGGAGAUCAAGUCAGUGGUGAAAUGCAUGGGCUUAACCCAUGAACUGCCAUUGAAACUGACCUUCUUGAGUGGAGUAGAGGCAAGCGGAAUUCCGAGUGUAGCGGUGAAAUGCGUAGAUAUUCGGAGGAACACCAGUGGCGAAGGCGGCUUGCUGGGCUUUUACUGACGCUGAGGCUCGAAAGUGUGGGAGCAAACAGGAUUAGAUACCCUGGUA